AAUUUUUUUUUUUUUAAUUAUUUUAUGGGUCUGGAGAGAUGGCUCAGCAGUUCAGCACUGAAUGCUCUUCCAGAGGACAUGGGUUCAGUUCCCAGCAACCAUGUGGCAGCUCAGAAUCAUCUGUAACUCCAAGAUCUGACACCCUCACACAUUCAUACAUGCAGACAAAAUACCAACGCACAUUAGAAAACCCACUAACUAGGUGUGUUUUUGUAUAUCCUUGUGCCUAUGAUUGCCAUGGUGUAGAGGUCAGAGUGGACUUGUAGGACUGGGUUCUCUUACUGUUUGUGUCCUAGAGAUCAAACUCAGGUCACCAAGCUUGGUGGGAAGUCCCUGGAUCCAGUGAGCUGUCUUGCCAGCCCCUAUGACUGUCUUUAAAGCAUUUAUUCUUAACUGACUGGUGGUACACUCUUUUAAUCCCAACACUGGGGAGGCAGAGGCAGGUGGAUCUCUGAGUUUGAGGGUAGGCAGGUCUACAGAGUUAGUUUUAGGAUAGCUAGGCCUAUGCAGAGAAAUCAUAUCUCAAAACAAACAAGCAAACAGGCAAAAGGUAUACAUUCAUUGCCUCUGGUUACCAAAAUAAAUAUUGUGAAAAAUGUAGACAUUUGUAACUGGGGAAACAAAAGGCUCUGUAUCUGAGUUCUGUGGUGAUGAGUGAAAGCAGUCAUGUGAGUCCUGUAGUGCUGGUGUGUAAGCUGCUCAGCGGCUGCAGGUUCACUAACUGUACUGAGGAUUUGCUCAGAGCUUUCUGUAUACUAAAUAUGCACCAUACCACUGAGCCUAGCCUCCUGUGUGUGUGUGUGUGUGUGUGUGUGUGUGUGUGUAUACAUAUAAAACAAAACCUUUUUUCAAGUUAAUCUAGUUAUUUAUCUGGUUCUUAAAUGUUGCGUUUGGUUGCAUGGAUAAUACACACUUAGAAACAUUGACAUUUUGCAAGUUUGCAGCCCAGUAAGUCACCACAAUGAGUAGCCAAGCAAAUAAACAAAUGGAGGAUUAAAAGUGCCUUAGAAGCUGCCAUGGUGCCCACCGUCUCACUCCCUUAAAACAUCUAACACUUUGGCUGAGUAAGGCCUGUCUCAAAAACACAAGACAGAACGCCAAAUCUGCACACGGUACACUCAAGAUUGCGCUCUAGAUCCCCACAUGACAUGGUUCACUUACAUAGAGUAAGCUCAGUUUCUGUAUCUCUCACUCCUGUCUAAGGUAGAACACAUUUUCACUGCUCAAAGACAGCCCUGACCCAGCAGCAGUCACUUAUAGACAGCCUUAGGCUGUCCUUAGAUUUGCCUGUUCUAGAGUAUUUAUGUAAAUGGAAUUAGAAAAAUUUGCAUUUUAUGAACAAUGUCCACGCUUUAUUCCUUUUUUUUAUGACCAAACAAUAUUCAUUAUAUGUAUAGAUCACAUUUUAUCCAGCCAGCAUUAAGUAAUGGAUGUAGCAGCUAUCCUUCUUAAUUUAGGAGGUUAUGGAAUAAUUUGAAUUUCCAUUAUUUUAGAUCCAUUAACAAAAUAUAUAGCCUAUCCUUCUCAGCCACUGGACUCUCAUGAAUGAUGGAAGGUUUACAUGAGUAUAUGUUUCAUUUUCCACUGUGCCUAUAAACCUGCCUUGGAGCAAAAUUACUGGGUCACAGGUAAUUGUAUUUAACCCCAAGAAGGUCCCAAACUCUUCCAGUAUAUCUGUAUCAUUGUUACUUCCUGCAGUGACACUUGAAUCUUCUAUUUUCUCAUCUCUGUCAAUAUUUGUUGCUGUAUUUUAGUGGGUACAAAGUGGUGUGUCUUGCUUUCUUUUGUAUUUGGUGACUAAUGAUGUUGAGGGUCUUACUUGCAUUGUUGGUUCACUUAGAUGAAGGCUUUCUCACUGUCAGGAACAGAGUUAAAAGUAGUAUCUUUACUCCCAUAACUUAAAGACAAGUGUUUUAGUGCCUCUAUAUUUCUCUAUUGUCUUUAUUUUUGUAAAUAUCAUUUGGAAUUUUUGUUUUCUUUCUUUCUUUUUUUUUAUGUUACAUGCUUUUUUGAAGAUGAUU
rnacentral:lncRNA from 1 species